rnacentral:snRNA from 1 species
AUCGUAGUGGCAGUGGCAAUAUCGUAACCAAUGAAGGUCUCCUGAGGUUAUUGCUAGUUGAAAAUAAUCAGUAUUUAAAAAGUAUUUGAUGUUAUCACAUAUUGUGAUUGAUAGUAAUUAUAAACUCUGAAGAUGAACUAGUCUG